UGCCUUUAGAUUGGGGACAACAGUUGGAAACGACUGCUAAUACCGAAUGUGCCUUAGGGUGAAAGAUUUAUUGUCUAGAGAUUGGCUCGCGUCAGAUUAGCUAGUUGGAGUGGUAACGGCACACCAAGGCGACGAUCUGUACUUGGUCUGAGAGGAUGACCAGGCACACUGGAACUGAGACACGGUCCAGACUCCUACGGGAGGCAGCAGUGGGGAAUUUUCCGCAAUGGGCGAAAGCCUGACGGAGCAAUACCGCGUGAGGGAGGACGGCUUUUGGGUUGUAAACCUCUUUUAUCAGGGAAGAAUCGAUGACGGUACCUGAUGAAUCAGCAUCGGCUAACUCCGUGCCAGCAGCCGCGGUAAUACGGAGGAUGCAAGCGUUAUCCGGAAUUAUUGGGCGUAAAGCGUCCGUAGGUGGUUUAUCAAGUCUGCUGUCAAAGCGUGCGGCUUAACCGCAUAAGGGCAGUGGAAACUGAUGAACUAGAGUGCGAUAGGGGUAACAGGAAUUCCCAGUGUAGCGGUGAAAUGCGUAGAUAUUGGGAAGAACACCAGCGGCGAAAGCGUGUUACUGGGUCUGCACUGACACUGAGGGACGAAAGC
rnacentral:rRNA from 1 species